rnacentral:antisense_RNA from 1 species
AGGAGCUGCCGAAGGCUGCGAUCUUUUGAUCUUGCUUCUUAAGAUCAAGAACAAAAGAUCGCAGCCUUCGGCAGCUCCU